UUCCAGACUCCUACGGGAGGCAGCAGUGGGGGAUAUUGCACAAUGGGGGGAACCCUGAUGCAGCGACGCCGCGUGAGUGAAGAAGUAUUUCGGUAUGUAAAGCUCUAUCAGCAGGGAAGAAAGAGACGAAAGUCUUGUGACGGUACCUGACUAAGAAGCCCCGGCUAACUACGUGCCAGCAGCCGCGGUAACACGUAGGGGGCAAGCGUUAUCCGGAUUUACUGGGUGUAAAGGGAGCGUAGGCGGCAGUGCAAGUCAGAAGUGAAAGCCCGGGGCUCAACUCCGGGACUGCUUUUGAAACUGUACAGCUUGAUUGCAGGAGAGGCAAGUGGAAUUCCUAGUGUAGCGGUGAAAUGCGUAGAUAUUAGGAGGAACACCAGUGGCGAAGGCGGCUUGCUGGACUGUAAAUGACGCUGAGGCUCGAAAGCGUGGGGAGCAAACAGGAUUAGAUACCCCAGUA
rnacentral:rRNA from 1 species